CCACCUCCACAGCCACCUUAUCUCAAGCAUUCAAUUGCAUUCUAAGUUAUCUUUAUUCAAAUCAAGUGUGACUACUAUACUAAAAGACUGUAGAAUGGGCCAAUCAACUAACCCAUCAGUACUUGCAAAGUCUUCUUUUCUGUAAGCCCGAAAUUUGAGUUCUAAAAUACCAUUAUCCACAUAACUACUAUAUCAAAGCACAAACUAAUGGAUUGAUCAAUUAUCUUUAUUCAAAUCAAGUGUGACUACUAUACUAAAAGACUGUAGAAUGGGCCAAUCAACUAACCCAUCAGUACUUGCAAAGUCUUCUUUUCUGUAAGCCCGAAAUUUGAGUUCUAAAAUACCAUUAUCCACAUAACUACUAUAUCAAAGCACAAACUAAUGGAUUGAUCAAGAAGGGCACUGCAGUUGUCUUGCAGUUAUGCAACUUAUCAACCCAUAACUGCGAUAACUGCAAGUUUUUUUAAUAAGAAAAGAGAUUGUAUGACUUCGGUAUCCGCAAUACGGUAUCGUGCAUUGAUUCCCAUCUUAGAAUGGCUCUCUUCCGUAUAGGUGGAAAUAGGAAAGGUUAUCUCCUUUUUUCCAAUUCUUAAAACAAAGAGGCUUAAUCGGUUCAAACAAAGAUGACGAUGAUCAUUAUGGAGCCGAUCAUAAUGAGGAAUACGAUAAUACAUAUAAUAAUAAAUAAAAUGAU